rnacentral:lncRNA from 1 species
CCGCCCCUCAUGGAGGCGUGGCGUUCGCGCCCCACUGCCGGCUGCGUCUUCUCCCUCGCUGAAAGUCUGAAGGGAGCCGGCUUACGUUUCUGCUCCGCUUGCCUAGCAAUGCUGCACUUAACAGUAUAUUGUAAAGCUUGAAGUACUGUAUUACGUUGCCUGGCUGUUACUCCAGUGCUAGGAAAGUGGUUGGAAGGAUGAGGAAGACAAUGAACAAAAGGAGGCAUUUGGAAGGAUUUGUUUUACUUCAAAAAC